rnacentral:rRNA from 1 species
GCAGGCUGCAACCCGCCUGUAUGAAGUUGGAAUCGCUAGUAAUCGCGGAUCAGCAUGCCGCGGUGAAUACGUUCCCGGGCCUUGUACACACCGCCCGUCACACCAUGAGAGUCGGGAACACCCGAAGUCCGUAGCCUAACCGCAAGGGGGGCGCGGCCGAAGGUGGGUUCGAUAAUUGGGGUGAAGUCGUAACAAGGUAUC